GAUGAAGAACGUAGCGAAAUGCGAUAAGUAGUGUGAAUUGCAGAAUUCAGUGAAUCAUCGAGUCUUUGAACGCACAUUGCGCCCCCUGGUAUUCCGGGGGGCAUGCCUGUCCGAGCGUCAUUACAACCCUCAAGCUCAGCUUGGUGUUGGGCCCCGCCGCCCCGGCGGGCCCUAAAGUCAGUGGCGGUGCCGUCCGGCUCCGAGCGUAGUAAUUCUUCUCGCUCUGGAGGUCCGGUCGUGUGCUCGCCAGCAACCCCCAAUUUUUUUCAGGUUGACCUCGGAUCAGGUAGGGAUACCCGCUGAACUUAAGCAUAUCAUAAGCGGAGGA
rnacentral:misc_RNA from 1 species